ACUUAAAUAACUUAUAUCUAGAGUAUAAUAUUGAAGAUGUUAGAGAGAUUAAUUUAAUCUUUAAGUA
rnacentral:tRNA from 1 species